UACGUAGGGCGCAAGCGUUAUCCGGAAUUAUUGGGCGUAAAGAGCUCGUAGGCGGUGUGUCGCGUCAGCCGUGAAAACCUGCAGCUUAACUGUGGGAUUGCGGUCGAUACUGGCAUCACUGGAGUUCGGCAGGGGAGACUGGAAUUCCUGGUGUAGCGGUGAAAUGCGCAGAUAUCAGGAGGAACACCGGUGGCGAAGGCGGCUCACUGGGCCGAUACUGACGCUGAGAAGCGAAAGCAUGGGGAGCGAACAGG
rnacentral:rRNA from 1 species